rnacentral:rRNA from 1 species
AGGGAAUCUUCCACAAUGGACGAAAGUCUGAUGGAGCAACGCCGCGUGAGUGAUGAAGGGUUUCGGCUCGUAAAACUCUGUUGUUGGAGAAGAACAGGUGUCAGAGUAACUGUUGACAUCUUGACGGUAUCCAACCAGAAAGCCACGGCUAACUACGUGCCAGCAGCCGCGGUAAUACGUAGGUGGCAAGCGUUGUCCGGAUUUAUUGGGCGUAAAGCGAGCGCAGGCGGUUUCUUAGGUCUGAUGUGAAAGCCUUCGGCUUAACCGGAGAAGUGCAUCGGAAACCAGGAGACUUGAGUGCAGAAGAGGACAGUGGAACUCCAUGUGUAGCGGUGAAAUGCGUAGAUAUAUGGAAGAACACCAGUGGCGAAGGCGGCUGUCUGGUCUGUAACUGACGCUGAGGCUCGAAAGCAUGGGUAGCGAACAGGAUUAGAUACCCUGGUAGUCCAUGCCGUAAACGAUGAGUGCUAAGUGUUGGAGG